CAACUUUGGGCAUAUUCUCACCUUCAAUUUCUCCUAUAUACACACAUACUAAAAAUUAAAACCUUUAAUGCUAUAUCCAAGACCCUCUCAACCUGACUCCAGCCCAUUUUUCUCACUUUUACCUUUCACUGCAUACCUGUACCCUACCUCCUUGGAAAUGCAUUGCUCUAAUUAUUUCCCUGGAGAUGCACUAUACUUGCUGCUUUUCUAUGUAGUUUAUUCUGUUCCCUCCAUCUACCUUUCUUCCCACCACCACCACCUAUUCAUCUUUAUUUGUAUUGGUUAAAUUCUACCUCAGUUAUCUAAAAUAAUCACCUACUAUUUCCUCUCUGAAGCCUUCAGUAUCUUCAGUACCCCCUUUCUCCCACUGCUUCCCCUACUACAUAGAUGUACAUAUCAGCGUCCCCUACACAAAAUGUAUUGCUU
rnacentral:lncRNA from 1 species